rnacentral:rRNA from 1 species
CAAUAGCGUAUAUUUAAGUUGUUGCAGUUAAAAAGCUCGUAGUUGGAUUUUGGUUAAGAGGGCGCGGUCGGCCGUUUGGUCUGUACUGCGUUGUCUUGACUUCCUGAUGAGGACAUGCUCUUGGUUAACGCUGAGACAUGGAGUCAUCGUGGUUACUUUGAAAAAAUUAGAGUGUUCAAAGCGGGCUUACGCUUGAAUAUAUUAGCAUGGAAUAAUGGAAUAGGACUUUGGUGCUAUUUUGUUGGUUUAUGGGACCGAAGUAAUGAUUAACAGGGACAGUUGGGGCCGUUUAUAUUUCGUUGUCAGAGGUGAAAUUCUUGGAUUUACGAAAGAUAAACUUCUGCGAAAGCAUUCGGCAAGGAUGUUUUCAUUGAUCAAGAACGAAAGUUAGGGGAUCGAAGACGAUUAGAUACCA